GAUUGAGCUUCUAUUGCUAAUAAUAGCUGUCUUGUAUUGAGUCCUCAUUCUACGCCAAGCUCUUACAGAACACAUUCCAGAUCUUAUCUCAUUUGAUCCUGGCAACAGUGGUAUAAAGAAAGUUCUAGUAUGAUUCCCAUUCUGUAUUUAAAUAAAUUUAGUUGUAAACAAAUUAAGAAUUUUGUGCAAGAUCUCACAGUGAAUGACAGAAGAAUAAGGACUUGACCAGAUGCCACCUGCCUUUAAUGACUGACCUCACUAUAUUAAAUUGCUCUCAUGGGCUUAAGGAGAAGUUUUGAGCAGGCUUCUUUCUUGAGAGACCUCUGAGAGUAUAUGACCAGUUGCUUUGAAAUUGAACUCAAUGGCCCUUAGAUUCAUUGAAACCUUAAAGGAGGGAGAACCUGUAAUAACUCUUGUGAUGUUUCAAAGGAAAUGAAGAGUUUCUAUUUUGAAAUAGGACUACAGAUACAUCUUUAUGACAGAAUCUUUUAUUCUAGAAAAAUCGCUCAAAUGAACCAUAUAAUGAGAUAAAAAAAAGUAGAUUCUACCAUCAGUGAAGUUAUUCUGGACUCUUCAGUCGUAAAAAAAUGUUCUGUGUAAUAAUGGAAAAUAUGGUCAAUAUCAUACUUCUUUGCAGACUGACAUUUCUGGGGUUUUUGUUGUUGUUGUUAAUAGGAUAAAACUUGACUGUUCCAGGAAACAACAGCUUGUCCUGUGGAGAAUUCGGAGCACUCACCAAUGGAAAAUUAGAGGCUGCAUACCAAAAGUCAAAGAAGCUGUUUUCCAGAGUCCUUCUGGGACCCUGGGUAUAAGCCGUGGUGAGCUUGGUGGCAAAGGUGAUUUAUGGAGCUGGAAAACCAAUAGCUGGGAAGGCAAAAGCACAAAUCCCUUGAAAUGGGCUGAAUUGUGUCCCUGAGAAUUCAUCACCUGGAACCUCAGAGCUUGACCUUUUUUGGAAAUGAGAAGGCUUUGUGAAGACCUACUGGCAGGAAGUCCAUGUGAACAUGGAGGCACAGAUUGGAGGGAGAUGUAUAUAAGACAGGGAAUACAAGCAACCACGACAUUCAAGGACAGAGAACCACAUUGGCUCUCUGAGGUAUCCAUUUCAGCAGGGAUAAGUUUCUGGCAGAGGAAGAAGCAACAAUAAUGCCCAGCAGAAGUGCCAGCAGCAGCAGUAGACAUUGGUAAAAGGGAUGCCAAUGUCUGAUGGAGACGGUUCAGCCAUGGGGAACAGAGUGUAAGUCAAAGCAUCUUCCUACAGUUUUCAAACAGAGUGGUCUUGACAGCAGACAUCCCUGGGAGAAGCUGAAUAUGGAGAUGAAAAAGAGGGCAGAAUCCGUGUGGCUGGUUACAGGCUUUAUCUAUGAGUAUAUAAAGCAGCCUUUGGGAAUAUAGGAUGUUUUAGGGUACUUUAACAGGGACUGACGUUUCACUGAUAACAAAAUGAGGGGACAGGUGUAUAAAUGGGCUAUUAUGAUGUGACUUAGGACAACAACUUUGUAUGAUUACUCUGGAUGAUGCUUUCUAGAGUUGUGUUCUAGGGGGAUUAUUCUGCAGAAUUCUACAUUGUACCAUAGUCUACAUUCAUACUGUAUUCUACAGAUAUGGUUCUGCCUGGAACAGCGCAACUGCUCAUGUACAUGAAAUAUAAACCAAUUUUGAGUCCUAA